rnacentral:lncRNA from 1 species
UUCAGUUUCUUUGUAUCUGUCUUAAAUAAACUAUUUUAUUGCCUAAGAAGUGUUUGUUUACUACAAAGACUUAAAUAAAAAAGUAGAUAGUUAAAUAUGUUUUAGUAUGAAUAUUCAUAAUGUAAAUACUUAUAAACAUUUAUUCAGAGCACACAUUCCACUAUCUGCUACAAAAUGGAAAAUCAAAAUUGCAGAUGGAGAAGCCAAAGUAACAUGCCAUGACCUCAGCUGCACAUGUAUGCAAAUAACUUUUAUUCUGGGAUUGUGUCUAAAGCAGUACAUUAUCUGUAUAAUAGCUCAUCUACUAAUCUGUUGUUUAUGACAAUUAAAAAUUUUUUUGUGUAAUAUAAAUAAUUUCAUUAUUAUUAUAAUUUGUUUGAUUUUAAAGGC